UAGGGUUCAACUUUUUUCAGCACAGAAGGAAAGGAGGAGACGACGGCGACGCAGGGGCUCGACUGGGUUCUUCUUGGCGACGACGACGCAGGGGCUCGGCUGAGUUAUUCUUGGCGACGUCUGCAAGUGGUGCCAACCAGGACCUUCAAUCUCACCUCUCUUCCAAACGAUACGUUAUUGCUCUCAAUAAGAAGGACCUUGCCAAUCCCAAUAUCAUAAAUGGGUUCGUCAUUUGGAAUCGUUCCAACAAGAUUGUAUUCCUAUAAAUGCACACAGUAAGACUUCUGUUAGGGAAGUAAACUUGGUAAAUACAACAAAGAGGAGGUUCUGGAAAAAGCAGAAAAUGAUUUAGUAGCUGUGACAAAACAAUAUAUUUCUCGACUGAUAAAAGAAAUGCAACGGGCUGACUUUUGGAAGCUAAGACGAGCAUCUUACCUAGGUAUUGGGUAUUCAUUUGCGACAUGCUAAUUUGACUGGAGAGUUGAUGCGGCUGGCGAUUGGUCGAAUAUCAGAUGGUGAAACUGACUAUGUACAGAAGAUAUGCAAGUUUGUUCGUGAUAUCUAUAGGGAGCUGACCCUUGUAGCUCCAAGCAUGGAUGAUAGUCAUGAUAUGAAAACAAAGAUGGAUAAAAUGCUUCAAAGUGUAAUGAAGAUUGAGAAUGGUAUGUGUGUACAUUUUCUUUUCUUCUUGUUUUCAAUGUUGCUAUUGCUGCUAUUAAUUAGAUUAGAAUCAUACUUUUUUAAAACACAAAUGUAAUAGAAAUAGU